UACGUAUGGAGCAAGCGUUAUCCGGAUUUACUGGGUGUAAAGGGAGCGCAGGCGGCUUCGCAAGUCUGAUGUGAAAGGCCGGGGCUCAACCCCGGGACUGCAUUGGAAACUGUAAAGCUAGAGUGCCGGAGAGGUAAGCGGAAUUCCUAGUGUAGCGGUGAAAUGCGUAGAUAUUAGGAGGAACACCAGUGGCGAAGGCGGCUUACUGGACGGCAACUGACGCUGAGGCUCGAAAGCGUGGGGAGCAAACAGG
rnacentral:rRNA from 1 species